CCUACGUGUGGCAGCAGUGAGGAAUAUUGGUCAAUGGACGGAAGUCUGAACCAGCCAUGCCGCGUGCAGGAAGACGGCUCUAUGAGUUGUAAACUGCUUUUGUACAAGGGUAAACCUGAAUACGUGUAUUCAGCUGAAAGUACUGUACGAAUAAGGAUCGGCUAACUCCGUGCCAGAAGCCGCGGUAAUACGGAGGAUCCAAGCGUUAUCCGGAUUUAUUGGGUUUAAAGGGUGCGUAGGCGGAUUGAUAAGUUAGAGGUGAAAUGUCCGAGCUUAACUCGGGAACUGCCUCUAAUACUGUUGAUCUAGAGAGUAGGUGCGGUAGGCGGAAUGUAUGGUGUAGCGGUGAAAUGCUUAGAGAUCAUACAGAACACCGAUUGCGAAGGCAGCUUACCAAUCUAUAUCUGACGUUGAGGCACGAAAGCGUGGGGAGCAAACAGGAUUAGAUACCCCAGUAGUC
rnacentral:rRNA from 1 species